CCAGACUCCUACGGGAGGCAGCAGUAGGGAAUCUUCGGCAAUGGACGAAAGUCUGACCGAGCAACGCCGCGUGAGUGAAGAAGGUUUUCGGAUCGUAAAACUCUGUUGGUAGAGAAGAACGUUGGUGAGAGUGGAAAGCUCAUCAAGUGACGGUAACUACCCAGAAAGGGACGGCUAACUACGUGCCAGCAGCCGCGGUAAUACGUAGGUCCCGAGCGUUGUCCGGAUUUAUUGGGCGUAAAGCGAGCGCAGGUGGUUUAUUAAGUCUGGUGUAAAAGGCAGUGGCUCAACCAUUGUAUGCAUUGGAAACUGGUAGACUUGAGUGCAGGAGAGGAGAGUGGAAUUCCAUGUGUAGCGGUGAAAUGCGUAGAUAUAUGGAGGAACACCGGUGGCGAAAGCGGCUCUCUGGCCUGUAACUGACACUGAGGCUCGAAAGCGUGGGGAGCAAACAGGAUUAGAUACCCUGGUAGUCCACGCCGUAAACGAUGAGUGCUAGAUGUAGGGAGCUAUAAGUUCUCUGUAUCGCAGCUAACUUAGUAAGCAGUCAGCCCCAGGAGUACGCCAACAAGGGUGCAACGCUAGGGUCCUGACCG
rnacentral:rRNA from 1 species